UACGUAGGGGGCAAGCGUUGUCCGGAAUCACUGGGCUUAAAGCGUGUGUAGGCGGACGCCUAAGUGUCUUGUGAAAUCCCACGGCUCACCCGUGGAACUGCUGGGCAUACUGGGCGUCUUGGGCCAACUAGGGGCAGCCGGAACAAGCGGUGGAGCGGUGAAAUGCGUAGAUAUCGCUUGGAACGCCGAAGGUGAAAACAGGCUGCUGGGGUUGUGCCGACGCUGAGACACGAAAGCCAGGGGAGCAAACGGG
rnacentral:rRNA from 1 species